CUUAUCAAGAGUGGCGGAGGAACAGGUCCUGUGAAGCCCGGCAACCUGAUUUAUUAAGGUGCUAAUUCCUGCGGAGCAAUCCGAAAGAUGAGG
rnacentral:ncRNA from 1 species